UACGGGGGGAGCAAGCGUUGUUCGGAUUUACUGGGCGUAAAGGGCGCGUAGGCGGUAGCACAAGUCAGUUGUGAAAUCUCCGGGCUUAACUCGGAAAGGUCAACUGAUACUGUGCGACUAGAGUGCAGAAGGGGCAACUGGAAUUCUCGGUGUAGCGGUGAAAUGCUUAGAGAUCAUGAGGAAGACCAGUGGCGAAGGCGGGUCUCUGGACAGUUCCUGACACUGAGGCACGAAGGCCAGGGGAGCAAACGGG
rnacentral:rRNA from 1 species